AACGAACGCUGGCGGCAUGCCUAACACAUGCAAGUCGAACGGUCACUUCGGUGAUAGUGGCGCACGGGUGCGUAACGCGUGGGAAUCUACCCUUGGGUUCGGAAUAACUCUCCGAAAGGAGUGCUAAUACCGGAUGAUGACGUAAGUCCAAAGAUUUAUCGCCCAAGGAUGAGCCCGCGUAGGAUUAGCUAGUUGGUGAGGUAAAGGCUCACCAAGGCGACGAUCCUUAGCUGGCCUGAGAGGAUGAUCAGCCACACUGGGACUGAGACACGGCCCAGACUCCUACGGGAGGCAGCAGUGGGGAAUAUUGGACAAUGGGCGAAAGCCUGAUCCAGCAAUGCCGCGUGAGUGAUGAAGGCCUUAGGGUUGUAAAGCUCUUUUACCCGGGAUGAUAAUGACAGUACCGGGAGAAUAAGCUCCGGCUAACUCCGUGCCAGCCGCCGCUGUAAAAC
rnacentral:rRNA from 1 species